GCUUACGGCCAUACCACCUUAGGCACGCCCGAUCUCGUCUGAUCUCGGAAGCUAAGCAGGGUCGGGCCUGGUUAGUACUUGGAUGGGUGACCCCCUGGGAAUACCAGGUGCUGUAAGCA
rnacentral:rRNA from 1 species